rnacentral:rRNA from 1 species
GAUGAACGCUAGCUACAGGCUUAACACAUGCAAGUCGAGGGACCGGCGCACGGGUGAGUAACACGUAUCCACCCUGCCCUUUACUCGGGGAUAGCCUUUCGAAAGAAAGAUUAAUACCCGAUAUAAAGGAUGGGGAUGGGUUCGAUUAGGUUGUUGGUGAGGUAACGGCCCACCAAGCCUUCGAUGGAUGGGGGUUCUGAGUGGAAGGUCCCCCGCAUUGGAACUGAGACCCGGUCCAAACUCCUACGGGAGGCAGCAGUGAGGAAUAUUGGUCAAUGGGCGCUAGCCUGAACCAGCCAAGUAGCGUGAAGGAUGAAGGCUUAUGGGUCGUAAACUUCUUUUAUAUAAGAAGAUGUAUUAUAUGAAUAAGGAUCGGCUAACUCCGUGCCAGCAGCCGCGGUAAUUC